rnacentral:tRNA from 1 species
GGCGGCGUAGCCAAGUGGCCUAAGGCAACGGAUUGCAAAUCCGUCACUCGUCGGUUCAACUCCGACCGCCGCCU